rnacentral:tRNA from 1 species
GUAGGUAUAGCUCAGUGGUAGAGUAUGUGUUAGCAUGUGUGAGGUCCUGGGUUCAACCCCCAGUACCUCCA